AGCCUUGUGGCUUAGUGGUUCGAGAACCUGUCUAGUAAAGCAGGGUAUCCUGGGUUCAAAUCCCAGUGGGGUCU
rnacentral:tRNA from 1 species